GGUGAACGCUGGCGGCGUGCUUAAGACAUGCAAGUCGAACGAUCGUCUUCGGACUGUAGUGGCGCCCGGGUGAGUAACGCGUAACUGACCUGCCCCCAAGUUCCGACUAACCCUCCGAAAGGCGGGCUAAUACGGGAUGUGCUGUCCCCUCCUGUGUGGCCCGUAACGGCUUGACCGCUUGGGGAUGGGGUUGCGUUCCAUCAGUUAGAUGGUGGGGUAUAGGCCUACCAUUGCAACGACGGAUAACCGGCCUGUGAGGGGGGGCGGUCACAGGGGAAAUGGGAAAAGAGGCACAGUCCUACGGGAGGCAGGAGGUAGGAGUCGGCAAAAAUGGACGAAAGUCUGAGGGAGGGACGCGGCGUGAGGGAUGAAGGAUUACGGAUCGUAAACCGCUGAAUGAGGGACGAAGGACGCGGAAGCGGGAUAACGGAACGUGAGUAAUAGCACCGGCUAACUCCGUG
rnacentral:rRNA from 1 species